rnacentral:rRNA from 1 species
GACGAACGCUGGCGGCGUGCUUAACACAUGCAAGUCGAACGAUGAAGAAGAGAAACGCGAACUUCGGUUCAAAUUUCACUUCGGAUUAGUGGCAGACGGGUGAGUAGCGCGUGAGCAACCUACCUCUUACAAAGGGAUAGCCUCGGGAAACCGUGAUUAAUACCAUAUGACACAUUCAUAAGGCAUCUUAAGAAUGUUAAAGCUACGGCGGUAAGAGAUGGGCUCGCGUCCCAUUAGCUAGUUGGUGAGGUAACGGCCCACCAAGGCGACGAUGGGUAACCGGCCUGAGAGGGUGAACGGUCACAUUGGAACUGAGACACGGUCCAAACUCCUACGGGAGGCAGCAGUGGGGAAUAUUGCACAAUGGAGGGAACUCUGAUGCAGCGACGCCGCGUGAGCGAUGAAGGAAUUCGUUUCGUAAAGCUCUGUUCUAUGGGAAGAAAAGGACUGUACCAUAGGAGAAAGCCCCGGCUAAAUACGUG